AAAGAAGACACAUAACACAGACCUCAAGCCUUUCAACCCUCGUUUUCUUUAACUCUACAAUGCAAAUAUGGAUCUUUAAUUUCUUUCCAAUCCAAUCCAACCACACCACCAUCAACAAGAAAGAAAGAGAAAUUCAAGAAACAAACAAAGAACAUAUGAAGAAGAAGAAGAAGAAAUGGGUAGAAAAUUAAAAAUAUUUACCAGU
rnacentral:misc_RNA from 1 species